UGACUUCAUACAUAAUGAACAUGAGAAGAAUAAGUUUCCCUAUAAACAACAUCAGAGGAGGUACUGAAGAUAAUAAUAAACUGUGAGCUUCAUUAAAACUUAGGAUGUGCAAAUUUAACGUGAGCAAAAUUAUGUGUUUCUUAUAAGGGAUAGGAAAAAGCCCCCAAAGAGAUAGAAAGAAUGCAGAAAUGAAAAGGAUAAUUGGGGAAAAGGCAAUCUAAAUACCAAGACCCUGGGAAAAGCGAGAAAGCCAUGCCCAUUCCAGGCCCUUGGACGAAGCAAAAAAGCCAGCAUCUUUUGUCUCAGACAACGUGCCACCAGCCCAAAGAGCACAGACAUACUAAAGCAGAGGCAGCAGCUUCCCUGAAGCACGCACAGAGCUGGAAGAAGGAGAACACAUUCCAUACAUUUUUCUAGAAAGUCUAGUAUUGCUUUCACUUCCCUUGAGUCAUUUAGGUUUCUGAAAGCUAAUCAUCUCCCAGAAAAAAUCUAACAGAUGGUAAGACACUUUCACAGCCAUAAAGAGAUGUAUACAAAGGGUUAAGAGGCUUAGAAAGAAUACGUUGUCCAGUCAAUUGCUAGUCUGUUCCAGAAUGAAUCCUCUCUAUCCACUUCCUUUUCAUGCAACAUGGUCAACCACUCAUCAUCUUGGAUCUUUUUUUGUCCUUGAAGUGUGGAGCUGAUAACACAAAUCUCAGCAGAAUAGAGAAGCACACAAGACUAUGUCCAUCUUCACACCCACACCGGAGAACAGGCUGAGUGCAUACACAUGGACGCGUGGGGAGAAGAGGAGGUGACCAUCCGUCCCUUCACAGCAUGCUAACAAUUUUGUCAACUGGCUCCUCAACAUACUCAGGCUGGGGUGGCGGGGGUGGGGGAGGACAUUUUCCUACAGACACAGUAGGAACAUGGCCUCUAGGCAUUAAAUUAACCAGCGGUUUCUUUGGCAUGUUCGAACAAGUCUAGAACCCAAAGCGCAUAUGCUAAGGGGAGAGGAAAAUUGCCUACUUGAUAAAAAUAAGCGGUAUCUAACCUCUGAGCUCAGAGCUUGAUUUCUGAUGCCAGUUUGAUAAGACUGGCAAAUGCACUUCUUGGUAACAACACUGAGGCCAGUACGGGAGCACCGAGUAUUCAAGUCUCACACAUAGCAUGACUUAAGAAAUGACAGCAGCAUUAGGAAAUGUGCUAAAAUUUUUAAAGGCGUAACAACCCUGUCUUCUGGUUACCCUAACCUGUGAUCUGUUUAUUUCCAUUUUCCUUUUUAAAAAA
rnacentral:lncRNA from 1 species